GAACGCACCUUGCGCUCCAUGGUAUUCCGUGGAGCAUGCCUGUUUGAGUGUCAUGAAAAACAAUCAACCUUGGUUUUGGGGAAACCCUCGAUCUCGGCUUGGACUUGGGCGUUUGCCAUCUUUGCGGAUGGCUCGCCUCAAAUGAAUUAGCUGGACCUGUUUGUGAGGAAUGGUUCUACUCGGCGUAAUAAGUAUUUCGCUGAGGACAUGGCUUCGGCUGUGGCCUUCUUCUCGGACGACCGUCUGCUUUCUAACCCUGCUUCUCCUUUUUGGAGAGCAACUUUUUAUGAUCUGGCCUCAAAUCAGGUAGGACUACCCGCUGAACUUAAG
rnacentral:misc_RNA from 1 species